CAGCAGCCGCGGGAAUACGUAGGGUGCGAGCGUUAAUCGGAAUUACUGGGCGUAAAGCGUGCGCAGGCGGCUUUGUAAGACAGGCGUGAAAUCCCCGGGCUCAACCUGGGAAUGGCGCUUGUGACUGCAAAGCUAGAGUGCGGCAGAGGGGGAUGGAAUUCCGCGUGUAGCAGUGAAAUGCGUAGAUAUGCGGAGGAACACCGAUGGCGAAGGCAAUCCCCUGGGCCUGCACUGACGCUCAUGCACGAAAGCGUGGGGAGCAAACAGGAUUAGAUACCCCCGUAGUCCCUGUCUCUUAUAC
rnacentral:rRNA from 1 species